rnacentral:tRNA from 1 species
GCCUGGGUGGCGGAAUUGGUAGACGCAAGGGACUUAAAAUCCCUCGAAACAUAGUUUCGUGUCGGUUCGACUCCGACCCUAGGCA